AUUGAACGCUGGUGGCAUGCUUAACACAUGCAAGUCGAACGGUAACAGGUCUUAGGAUGCUGACGAGUGGCGGACGGGUGAGUAACGCGUAGGAAUCUGCCCAUUUGAGGGGGAUACCAGUUGGAAACGACUGUUAAUACCGCAUAAUAUCUGUGGAUUAAAGGUGGCUUUCGGGCUGUCGCAGAUGGAUGAGCCUGCGUUGGAUUAGCUAGUUGGUGGGGUAAGGGCCCACCAAGGCUACGAUCCAUAGCUGAUUUGAGAGGAUGAUCAGCCACAUUGGGACUGAGACACGGCCCAAACUCCUACGGGAGGCAGCAGUGGGGAAUAUUGGACAAUGGGGGCAACCCUGAUCCAGCAAUGCCAUGUGUGUGAAGAAGGCCCUAGGGUUGUAAAGCACUUUAGUUGGGGAGGAAAGCCUCAAGGUUAAUAGCCUUGGGGGAGGACGUUACCCAAAGAAUAAGCACCGGCUAACUCCGUGCCAGCAGCCGCGGUAAUACGGGGGGUGCAAGCGUUAAU
rnacentral:rRNA from 1 species